rnacentral:rRNA from 1 species
UCGCUCAGGACGAACGCUGGCGGCGUGCUUAACACAUGCAAGUCGAACGAUGAAACUCCUUCGGGGGUGGAUUAGUGGCGAACGGGUGAGUAACACGUGGGCAAUCUGCCCUUCACUCUGGGACAAGCCCUGGAAACGGGGUCUAAUACCGGAUAACACCGGCUUCCGCAUGGGAGCUGGUUGAAAGCUCCGGCGGUGAAGGAUGAGCCCGCGGCCUAUCAGCUUGUUGGUGGGGUGAUGGCCUACCAAGGCGACGACGGGUAGCCGGCCUGAGAGGGCGACCGGCCACACUGGGACUGAGACACGGCCCAGACUCCUACGGGAGGCAGCAGUGGGGAAUAUUGCACAAUGGGCGAAAGCCUGAUGCAGCGACGCCGCGUGAGGGAUGACGGCCUUCGGGUUGUAAACCUCUUUCAGCAGGGAAGAAGCGAAAGUGACGGUACCUGCAGAAGAAGCGCCGGCUAACUACGUGCCAGCAGCCGCGGUAAUACGUAGGGCGCAAGCGUUGUCCGGAAUUAUUGGGCGUAAAGAGCUCGUAGGCGGCUUGUCGCGUCGGAUGUGAAAGCCCGGGGCUUAACCCCGGGUCUGCAUUCGAUACGGGCAGGCUAGAGUGUGGUAGGGGAGAUCGGAAUUCCUGGUGUAGCGGUGAAAUGCGCAGAUAUCAGGAGGAACACCGGUGGCGAAGGCGGAUCUCUGGGCCAUUACUGACGCUGAGGAGCGAAAGCGUGGGGAGCGAACAGGAUUAGAUACCCUGGUAGUCCACGCCGUAAACGUUGGGAACUAGGUGUUGGCGACAUUCCACGUCGUCGGUG